CGCAUACAUAACAUUAACAAUUAUGACAAAUUGUUGAGUUAGUUGCAAUUGACGCAUUUGAAUUUUCACCAUCACUAAUUCAUUGGAGUCGUUAGUAUUCGUUGGAUGAGUUGUUACAUUUAAACGCUCGAAUGUGUCUAUUUGCAACCUCCCUUGAUUAUGCAACACUCGAACAUAUUCGUCACACCAGCUGAUGAAGUUACCACAUUGCUGCAUUGGGACACAAUAAAUUUAUUCACUUGUGUAAAAGGAACAAAUAUACAAAAAUUAUAAUAAAUAAAUACAUACCAUUCUUGGACAAGAAUAAUAGUGUCUACUCGGAUUCUUUUCUGACAUUGAAAGUUUUACUAUACAAGGGCCCGUACCACAACGACAUAUGAACGGAGGCCAUACGAAUGUAGCAGUAGACGAAUUUGAUGACAUAUAUUCUAUCAACAGACAUGCAUAAAAAAGAUCAACAAUAAUUCCAAACUGACAGAUAAUCCAUGAAGUUUAUACAGAAGUCACAAAAACUAACAAUUAUAGCAAAAUGACACGUGUAUUUUAAAGAUUAAAAACUGACAGAUACCAAAUGAGUUAGCAGUUAUUUAGUAUAUGUAUAUCUAUUUUGAAAGGAACAUGUAUACGGUCAGAAAAAGUUUCGACCUUUUCUUUCUUUAGUAGCAUCAAAUGCAUUUUCCUAGUAAUAGAAGCAGGCUUAGCUAGCAGCAGUAGUGUAUUUCACAAUAAGCCAAGGCAGACAGGGUAGGCAAGCAUAUUGAUAUGUCAUAGUCAUAGUUUUCUACCCUUUUUACUCUACAUUUGCGCCGGUGCUUCCUCCUCUCUAUUUUGUCUUUUUUGCAAACACCCAAGGGCCCAAUUUUUACGUUCCCAAAACAUGGAUUCAAUUCAUCACACUAAAAAUAUAUAUUACAGAGCCUUUCUUGCAAUAAAAAAACUGUGCAACAUCAAAUUAGUCAAAACAACCAAAAUAAAAGAUCAACACCUGUUUAUCUUCCCAAAUCAACAGUUCAUAAUUCAGAAAUUAAUAUCAACCUACAGAUCUGAACUUCGCCUUACAGGUAUAGCCAAAAUGACCUCGCGAUUUGGUUUGCGAGAGGGGGUUUGACAGAGAUUCACGCGAGUUUACUACACUCAAAUCCCCCAAAGGUUACAAUUGGGGGUCAACAAACGAUAUUUCUAUAAAUCAAUAACAACUACAAAAAUCAUAUGCUCAGAAACCCUAGAUUUCUUUCAAAUCAAACAGAAAUUACAAGAUUCAUAUGCUCAGAAUCUUUACCUCUCUGUUUACAACAAGUUCUGUUCGAUCUUCUUUUUGCCUUCGGUUUGCUUCAGACUCGCUUAGACAGAGGGAAUUUGUGGGAAAAAUGCUCAGAUUUCUCAGAAUCGGGAAGAGAGAAUCGGCAGAAUUUGGGAAGAGAGAGAGGGGGUUUGUUCUGAAUUAUCUGAUUCAUUUGGCUUCCCGUGUAUUUUUUGUGACCCGCGCGUGUUUUUUCCUCCCAAAUUUGUGACCCGCGUAUUUUUUUCCUUUUGGUCUGUUGCUAGUCCGCUUCCUUUGGUCCGUCUAAGAUC
rnacentral:lncRNA from 1 species